rnacentral:rRNA from 1 species
CUGACCGAGCAGCGCCGCGUGAGUGAGAAGGUCUUCGGAUUGUAAACGUCUCUGUUGUUAGGGAAGAAGGCUAUUAGGAGGGAUGCCUAAGCCCGUGACGGUACCUAAUUAGAAGCCCCGGCUAACUACGUGCCAGCAGCCGCGGUAAUUAACAU